UACGUAGGGGGCAAGCGUUGUCCGGAAUUAUUGGGCGUAAAGAGCGUGUAGGCGGCCAGAUAAGUCCGCUGUGAAAUCUCGAGGCUCAACUUCGAGCUGUCGGUGGAAACUAUCUGGCUAGAGUCCGGAAGAGGAGAAUGGAAUUCCUGGUGUAGCGGUGAAAUGCGCAGAUAUCAGGAAGAACACCCGUGGCGAAGGCGGUUCUCUGGGACGGUACUGACGCUGAGGCGCGAAAGCGUGGGGAGCAAACAGG
rnacentral:rRNA from 1 species